rnacentral:rRNA from 1 species
GACGGAGGAGGCUAGCGUUGUUCGGAAUUACUGGGCGUAAAGCGCGCGCAGGCGGCUUAGCAAGUCAGGGGUGAAAGCCCGGGGCUCAACCUCGGAACUGCCUUUGAGACUGCUAGGCUCGAGACCGAGAGAGGAGAGUGGAAUUCCCGGUGUAGCGGUGAAAUGUGUAGAGAUCGGGAGGAACACCGGUGGCGAAGGCGGGUCUCUGGGCAUUUCCUGACGCUGAGGCGCGAAAGCGUGGGGAGCAAACGGG